rnacentral:misc_RNA from 1 species
GAUGAAGAACGUAGCGAAAUGCAUAAGUAAUGUGAAUUGCAGAAUUCAGUGAAUCAUCGAAUCUUUGAACGCACAUUGCGCCCGCCAGUAUUCUGGCGGGCAUGCCUGUUCGAGCGUCAUUUCAACCAUCAAGCCCCCGGCUUGUGUUGGGGACCUGCGGCUGCCGCAGGCCCUGAAAAGCAGUGGCGGGCUCGCUGUCACACCGAGCGUAGUAGCAUACAUCUCGCUCUGGGCGUGCUGCGGGUUCCGGCCGUUAAACCACCUUCAUAACCCAAGGUUGACCUCGGAUCAGGUAGGAAGACCCGCUGAACUUAAGCAUAUCAAUAAGCGGAGGA